UAGGGAAUCUUCGGCAAUGGACGAAAGUCUGACCGAGCAACGCCGCGUGAGUGAAGAAGGUUUUCGGAUCGUAAAACUCUGUUGUUAGAGAAGAACAAGGACGUUAGUAACUGAACGUCCCCUGACGGUAUCUAACCAGAAAGCCACGGCUAACUACGUGCCAGCAGCCGCGGUAAUACGUAGGUGGCAAGCGUUUUCCGGAUUUAUUGGGCGUAAAGCGAGCGCAGGCGGUUUCUUAAGUCUGAUGUGAAAGCCCCCGGCUCAACCGGGGAGGGUCAUUGGAAACUGGGAGACUUGAGUGCAGAAGAGGAGAGUGGAAUUCCACGUGUAGCGGUGAAAUGCGUAGAUAUAUGGAGGAACACCAGUGGCGAAGGCGGCUCUCUGGUCUGUAACUGACGCUGAGGCUCGAAAGCGUGGGGAGCAAACAGG
rnacentral:rRNA from 1 species